GCAUGACGUUUCAUUAUAUUUAGAAUUUGAAUUUCCAUUUUCAUGCCAUGUGUUUAUACUUUAUAUCUAAAUUUCAAAGGUAUUUUUAAACGCGGCGUAACAUGCAAUCAAUAUGUUGUUGUUUAUACUUACUUUCCUCAGAAGCCAGUUUUUUCAAUGAGACAGCUACUAAAACUAUAGCAAUGAAGACUGCAGCUACGAUUAAACCAACCACACUAUAGAUUAUAAUACGAACUAAACCACCAUUUUCACCCAUCUUGAUCUACAACUGAUAUUCAAGUUUUUCAAAUUU
rnacentral:lncRNA from 1 species